GGUUAGGGGUUAGAGUUGGUGUUUGGAAUAGGGUUAGUGUUAGUAAAAAGGCGGAAACGCCGGAAGUUGUUAGUACUAUGUCUGGUUCUUCUAAAAGGCGUGGGCACUAUUAAUUAAGUGGCGCUGUCAACCCCUCGAAUAAAAUUCCUCUAUGAUACUCGGAACCAGAGACCACAGUGGCCCAGUCUCUGUGUUGGUAUUUAUGUUGCGCACAUAGAAGUCUCCUGCCGUGAUAUAAGGGACCGUUCAUUAUUAAUACAGGGGGGGGGGGCUGGUAAAACAAAACUGAAUAAUUCAAUUUCCUACUUUUUUGAAAAUUUUCAGCAAACAAAUUCAAAAAGAUGAUUUUGUGUGUCAAAUACAAACCAUCACGGCAAUGUUGGACAUCAACGGAAAUGCAAUAGUUCAGGGUAUCAUAAAGGAAUUUUAUUCGAGGGGUAACAGAUUUCACGGGGUGACACCCAUAGAGAUUAUAAAUAACACUAGAGGAGGCAUCGUAAUCUUAAUUCAAAGGGAACGCGGCUAUUGGGGGGCAAAAAAUUAAUUAAAAUGCUAAAAUAAGAGCGAGUUUCAGCCAAAAUCUCGUUUAUGGCAGUUAAGUAAUCCCGUUUUGAUUUUUAUCUCAAUUUUGUCUGUAACACAUUUUUGAGAGCGCUCCAAAAUAAUGCUGAUGUCAGCAAUUUUGAUCUUUUCAAAAGGAAUUAAUUAAUUUUUUAAAUUCAAAAUUUUCGCAAAUUUUCGCGACAUGCAAAACAUAUAAAACACCCAGUUUUGACUCUUGUUUAAAAUUUUUCUGGUUUGAAGUGUAAUCCAAGAAUUGUGUGGUGUUUAUCCGGGAUUUGAAUUUACCCCCCCCCCAUUACUGCGUUCGUAAAUUUCACCCUCGAUGCCGGUUGCCCCCUCUAGUGUUAUUUAUAAUCUCUAUGGUAACACCACUAAAAGUACGAAACUGGUAAUUAAUAAACCCAGCAUAUCAUAUGAAACCAG